rnacentral:rRNA from 1 species
AUGUAUGCCUCAAGGCUCCACCUUUUGCCAGAUCCAAGUGCUCGUGGGUUCGUGGGCGAUGCCACCCACCGACGGCAAGUGCAGCCCUGCCAACCCCCUCCAGACAUGGUAGUUCUGACCAACUUUGGCUUCCACAUCUUCAAUUCCGGACUAGGCGGCUAUGGGAUUGCUCAGCUUCAGGCCAGGGAGAGAUCCCUGCUCGGCUUGCCGGUGCUGGCAGCGGCGGCGCCCGCGGGUGUCGCUUCCUUCUUGGAGGCGCUGUCAAGGCCUUCAGCUGCGCCCCUCUUCGAUCUUGCAACCUCAAGGCGCGAGAAGCUCAUAUAUACUAGCUAA